UCUCCGUUGGUGAACCUGCGGAGGGAUCAUUACAAGUGACCCCGGUCUUACCACCGGGAUGUUCAUAACCCUUUGUUGUCCGACUCUGUUGCCUCCGGGGCGACCCUGCCUUCGGGCGGGGGCUCCGGGUGGACACUUCAAACUCUUGCGUAACUUUGCAGUCUGAGUAAACUUAAUUAAUAAAUUAAAACUUUUAACAACGGAUCUCUUGGUUCUG
rnacentral:misc_RNA from 1 species